rnacentral:rRNA from 1 species
AUUGAACGCUGGCGGAAUGCUUUACACAUGCAAGUCGAACGGUAGAGGGGGCAACCCCUCGAGAGUGGCGAACGGGUGAGUAAUAUAUCGGAACGUGCCCAGUCGUGGGGGAUAACGUAGCGAAAGUUACGCUAAUACCGCAUACGAUCUAAGGAUGAAAGCGGGGGAUCGCAAGACCUCGCGCGAUUGUAGCGGCCGAUAUCAGAUUAGGUAGUUGGUGGGGUAAAGGCUAACCAAGCCAACGAUCUGUAGCUGGUCUGAGAGGACGACCAGCCACACUGGAACUGAGACACGGUCCAGACUCCUACGGGAGGCAGCAGUGGGGAAUUUUGGACAAUGGACGCAAGUCUGAUCCAGCCAUUCCGCGUGCAGGAUGAAGGCCCUCGGGUUGUAAACUGCUUUUGUACGGAACGAAAAGGUCUCUCUUAAUACGGGGGACUCAUGACGGUACCGUAAGAAUAAGCACCGGCUAACUACGUGCCAGCCGCCGCGGUAA